rfam:Xylona heveae TC161 unplaced genomic scaffold L228scaffold_16, whole genome shotgun sequence.
GUCGCGAUGCCAGAGUGGUUAAUGGGUCAGACUUGAAUUAUAAGCAUUCUGAUAUCUGAUGGCUUCGGCCUCGCAAGUUCGAAUCUUGUUCGCGACG